rnacentral:lncRNA from 1 species
CCCAAACGGGCAGGUUUUAUGGCAAAAGGGGGGGCACGGCGGAGGCUGCGGGGCAGGAGGGGGCGGCGGUGGGGAAGCCCGGUGACAAGGGGCGCCGGACGGGGGCUCGCGUCGCUUUUUUUGGGGCAAAUCCCGCCUCAUUCGGGAAGGAUGGAGCUGGUGCGCCGCACCAGUUGGGUUGACCUGGUGUCUCCCCUGUGGCCACCCGCGGUUGACCUGAUGUCCCGUGUUGGUUUGUGUCCGCUUUGGUUGACCUGGUGUCUAGUCCGUGCCUGGGUUGACCUAGUGGCCAAGUUCCUACUGGGCGACCUGGUGGCCAGUCUCUCUGGGUUGACCUGAUGACUGGUGCCCACCUCGGUUGACCUGGUGGCCAAGUCCCCCCCCCCCCACCACCACCUCCUUGGGUGACCCGGUGGCCAGUGUCCACCUUGGGGGACCUGGUGACCAACGUCCCCCCCCCUGGUUUGACCUGGUGGCCACGGUCCAUCUGGGGGCUGAUCUGGUGGCCAGUGUCUCCUUUAGGUGACCUGGUGCCCGAGGUCCGCCUGGUUUGACCUAACGUCCACCUGCGUUGACUUGGUGACCAAGGUCCACCUCGGGUGACCCGGUGUCCACCUUGGGUGACGGGUCCCCGUGUGACCUGGCGUCCACCUCCAUCCCUCCCCCACCCCACGAUGAGCCCUCCCCCCCCCCCACCCGUGCGCCCGUCCCCGGGGCCGGGCCAACUCGUGACAGGGGCCGGCUUUGUCCCCGGGGAGCCGUGGGAGCCGCGGGCUGAGGAAACAUCUGCUUCCACCUCCGCAGGGCCCCAGCGAGCCACUGGGAGGGGGGGGGGGCUGGGCUCUGCUCCGCCAGGCGUCUGUCCGUCCGUCCCGGGGCUCUUUCUGUCCGUGCGUGCAACCAUCCAUCCGUCCUCCUCUCCGUGCAACCAUCCAUCCGUCCUUCUUAUGUGUGCAACCAUCCAUCCAUCCUCCUCUCCGUGCAACCAUCCAUCCGUCCUUUCCACGUGUGCAACCAUCCAUCCGUCCUUCCUAUGUGUGCAACCAUCCAUCCAUCAUCCUCUCUGUGCAACCAUCCAUCYGUCCUCCUCUCCGUGCAACCAUCCAUCCGUCCUUCCCAUGCGUGCAACCAUCCAUCCGUCCUCCUCUCCGUGCAACCAUCCAUCCGUCCUUCCCAUGCGUGCAACCAUCCAUCCGUCCUCCUCUCCGUGCAACCAUCCAUCCGUCCUUCCCAUGCGUGCAACCAUCCAUCCGUCCUCCUCUCCGUGCAACCAUCCAUCCGUCCUUCCCAUGCGUGCAACCAUCCAUCCGUCCUCCUCUCCGUGCAACCAUCCAUCCGUCCUUCCUAUGUGUGCAACCAUCCAUCCGUCCUCCUCUCCGUGCAACCAUCCAUCCGUCCUUCCUAUGUGUGCAACCAUCCAUCCAUCCUCCUCUCCAUGCAACCAUCCAUCCGUCCUUCCCACGUGUGCAACCAUCCAUCCGUCCUCCUCUCUGUGCAACCAUCCAUCCGUCCUUCCCACGUGUGCAACCAUCCAUCUGUCCUUUCCAUCCAUCCAUCCAUCCCUUCUUCCCAUGCAUCCUUGCACCCAUCCUUGCACCCAUCCCUCCAUCUCCCCACGCAUCCUCGCACCCAUCCACCCCUUCUCCUUCCCUUGCGUCCGUCCCCUCUCGCCCCGUCCUCCUGGCGUGCUGGUGGCGGUGGUGCUGGUGGUGGCGGUGCUGGUGGUGGCCUCGCUGGGGACACGGCGGCGGCGGUGGCGGCGGCGGCUACAUGAUGGGCUGGAGGCCGCUCUUGGCGCCGAGCACCGGGCCCUGCUUCAGCUGCACCACGGUGGUCAGCAGCCACUUGACCUGCGGUGGGAGGAGGAGGCCUUGGAGGACCCGGGGCGGGGGGGGGGCACGUUUCCACCCGCGUUGGGUUUGCACAUGGGUUUUUGCACCCGGGUUGGGUUUGCGCCCGGGUUUUGGCGCCCGCGUUGGGUUUGCGCCCGGGUUUUUGCCCCCGCGUUGGGUUUGUGCCCGGGUUUUGCCCCCGCGUUGGGUUUCUGCCUGGGUUUUUGUGCCCACGUUGGGUUUUCGCCCGGGUUUUUGCACCCGCGUUGGGUUUCUGCCCAGGUUUUUGUGCCCGCGUUGGGUUUUCGCCCGGGUUUUUGUGCCCACGUUGGGUUUGCGCCUGGGUUUUUGCACCCGCGUUGGGUUUGCGCUCGGUUUUUGCCCCCACGUUGGGUUUGCGCCUGGGUUUUUGCCCCCGCGUUGGGUUUCCACCCGGGUUUUGCGCCCACGUUGGGUUUCCGCCUGGUUUUUGCGCCCGUGUUGGGUUUUCACCCAGGUUUUUGCCCCCGCGUUGGGUUUGCGCCCGGGUUUUUGCGCCCAGGUUGGGUUUUUGCCCAGGUUUUGGCGCCCGUUCUCACCUUGCAGAGGGUGACGGUGGCGCUGUAGCAGACGCUGAGGAGGAAGAGGGUGAUGAAGACGGCGAUGGUGUCCCAGGGCCCGUUGAGCGGCUCGGGGGCGCCGUGGCAGAGGUCCUCGGGCAGGAGCAGCUCUGCUGCCGGGGAGAGGGGUCAGCGCGCUGCCGGCAUACGGACCCGGCCGUCCCUCCUUCCCUCCGUCCGUCCCUCCAUCCCUCCGUCCAUCCGUCCAUCCAUCCAACCCUGCAUCCAUCCCUCCCUCCAUCCCUCUGUCCAUCCAUCCUUCUGUCCAUCCAUCCCUCUGUCCGUCCAUCCCUCCAUCCAACCCUGCGUCCAUCGCUCCAUCCCUCCCUCUAACCCUGUAUCCAUCCAUCCCUCCAUCUCUACAUCCCUCCGUCCAUCUCUCCGUCCAUCCAUCCCUCUGUCCAUCCAUCCCUCCAUCCAUCCCUCUGUCCAUGCCUCUGUCCACCCCUCUGUCCAUCCCUCCAUCCCUGCAUCCAUCCCUGCAUCCAUCCCUCAGUCCAUUCCUCCAUCCCUCCGUCCAUCCAUUCAUCCCUCCAUCCCUCUGUCCAUCCAUCCAUCUGUCCAUCCAACCCUGCAUCCAUCCCUCCCUCCAUCCCUCCAUCCAUCCAUCCCUCCCUCCAUCCCUCUGUCCAUCCAGCCCUCUGUCCAUCCAUCCCUCCAUCCAACCCUGCGUCCAUUGCUCCAUACAACCCUCCAUCCAUCUCUCCAUCCCUCCCUCCAUCCAACCCUGUAUCCAUCCAUCCCUCCAUCUCUACAUCCCUC